rnacentral:lncRNA from 1 species
CGAACGCACAAAAGCUCUUUAAUGGGUAAAUAUAAGCUAAUUAUGUUGUCUAUACAAUCAAAAGCUACUUGAAAAAACACAAUUGUCCUUUGACAGAUGUAAUGCUUGGAAGUUUCUAGAGGUUUUUUUGCCGGCUGAGUCAUCUCGCCUGCCCCUUUUUUCUUCAGAAAAGAUCUUGCUUGGACAGCCCAAACUGGUCUUGAAUUCAUAAUCUUGCAUCAGCCUCCCAAGUGCCGGGAAUUCGGAGUGUGCUCCACUCCAUCCAAAGAGAUCAUCAUUUUUUACUUUGUUGAGAGAAAUGUCUUAACUUCCAUCGCCUGUGAAUGUGACUUCGUUUGGAAACAGGUUCUUAAUAGAUGUCCUAAGUUAAGUUAGAAUGGCCCCUAGUGCUCUGGUGAGAAGGGAGAAACUUGGACAUGAAGACACACAAGAAGAAG